AUUGAACGCUGGCGGCAUGCUUUACACAUGCAAGUCGAACGGCAGCGCGGGCUUCGGCCUGGCGGCGAGUGGCGAACGGGUGAGUAAUACAUCGGAACGUGCCCAGUAGUGGGGGAUAGCUCGGCGAAAGCCGGAUUAAUACCGCAUACGACCUGAGGGUGAAAGCGGGGGAUCUUCGGACCUCGCGCUAUUGGAGCGGCCGAUGGCAGAUUAGCUAGUUGGUGGGGUAAAGGCCUACCAAGGCGACGAUCUGUAGCUGGUCUGAGAGGACGACCAGCCACACUGGGACUGAGACACGGCCCAGACUCCUACGGGAGGCAGCAGUGGGGAAUUUUGGACAAUGGGCGAAAGCCUGAUCCAGCAAUGCCGCGUGUGUGAUGAAGGCCUUCGGGUUGUAAAGCACUUUUGGCGGGAACGAAAGGGACUGUGCCAAUACCACAGUUCGAUGACGGACCCGCAGAAUAAGCACC
rnacentral:rRNA from 1 species